AUUGAACGCUGGCGGCAUGCCUUACACAUGCAAGUCGAACGGUAACAGGUCUUCGGAUGCUGACGAGUGGCGAACGGGUGAGUAAUACAUCGGAACGUGCCUAGUAGUGGGGGAUAACUACUCGAAAGAGUGGCUAAUACCGCAUGCGAUCUACGGAUGAAAGCAGGGGAUCGCAAGACCUUGUGCUACUAGAGCGGCCGAUGGCGGAUUAGGUAGUUGGUGGGAUAAAAGCUUACCAAGCCGACGAUCUGUAGCUGGUCUGAGGGGCCGAGCAGCCACACUGGGACUGAGACGCGGCACAGAGUCGUACGGGAGGGAGCAGUGGGUAAUUUUGGACAAUAGGCGAAAGCCUGAUCCAGCAGUGCCGCGUGCAGGAUGAAGGCCUUCGGGUUGUAAACUGCUUUUGUACGGAACGAAAAGCCCCGGGUUAAUACCCUGGGGUCAUGACGGUACCGUAAGAGUAAGCACCGGCUCACUACGUGCCAGCCGCCGCAGUAA
rnacentral:rRNA from 1 species